rfam:Corynebacterium doosanense CAT 212 = DSM 45436, complete genome.
UUGUCACCGUCGUCGCUGAUGUGCGACGGAGUCCGCGACGGUGGCAGUGAGUUUUAAGACGUCCAUCGCACCGAGCAGGGCACUCGCCCUGUCGGCCCGAGAACGGGAGAGAACGCUGAGCGUUACCAC